ACCGUGCUCCCUCAGGGAGGACGGUCCCAAAGGAGAUCCCUGAGAAGCAGAAAUCUGAGGAUUCUUGUAGCCAGAAUGAAACGAAACACUCCCAGAAUGUUAGUUUCUGCCUUGGCUCCGGCAUGUAAGAAAAAGUCACGUUUCUGGUGGGGUCAGCGAAAGCUGUGUGCAAAGAAGGAAUUCAGGGUCCUAUACGAGGAUUUCAGAGGGAUUUAGGUGUUUCACAACUGGGAUCUGAAAACCAUCCUACCUAGCAAGUAACUUAUCCUAGAACUGCAUAAAUCCUUCAGGAUUUUUUGAAAGUUCACUCAAAGGUUCUCUGCAGCUGCUUGUUUCCAGACCAGCGCUGCUUUUAGUAGCUUGGCAAAAAUCCCGCUGGGAUCAGUUGUACAAGAUGUCAUGGAUGCAAGAGCAGGGUAGUAUAUCCAGUUGUAACACUCAGCUGUGAAAAAAAAGUUUUAACUUGUACAUGACUUUGGUGGAAUCCAUGGUAUAAACAUAGUCUGCAGUGUAUAAUUUUCUCCUAAACUUCCCCAAUUGCUUGCAACUUUUGAAGAAAAAAACAGAAACAUUAUGAAUUACCCUUUUUUUUUUUAAUUAGAAGUGGAAGCUACAAGACAGCUCAGAAACAACUGAAGUUUGGA